GACGAACGCUGGCGGCGUGCCUAAUACAUGCAAGUAGAACGCUGAAGAGAGGAGCUUGCUCUUCUUGGAUGAGUUGCGAACGGGUGAGUAACGCGUAGGUAACCUGCCUGGUAGCGGGGGAUAACUAUUGGAAACGAUAGCUAAUACCGCAUAAAAUGGAUUAUCGCAUGAUAAUCCAUUGAAAGGUGCAAAUGCAUCACUACCAGAUGGACCUGCGUUGUAUUAGCUAGUUGGUGGGGUAACGGCUCACCAAGGCGACGAUACAUAGCCGACCUGAGAGGGUGAUCGGCCACACUGGGACUGAGACACGGCCCAGACUCCUACGGGAGGCAGCAGUAGGGAAUCUUCGGCAAUGGACGGAAGUCUGACCGAGCAACGCCGCGUGAGUGAAGAAGGGUUUCGGAUCGUAAAGCUCUGUUGUAAGAGAAGAACGAGUGUGAGAGUGGAAAGUUCACACUGUGACGGUAUCUUACCAGAAAGGGACGGCUAACUACGUG
rnacentral:rRNA from 1 species